CAACGAGCGAGCAGACAGCCCGGGAAGGCUGUCUUCUUCACGUCGUGUCGCUGUCUCGUGUGGCACUUGACGUCCCCAUCAAGGACUUUGUGUACCCAGGUCCCCAAGCUGUGGAGAGCAGGUCCAUAGAUGGUCCAUUUACAAUAGGGCUGUGCCAACCACAUUCCCCCUGUCAGAAGCGACUGCUGUCAUGAAAUGGGACCCAGCUGCAACAGAGGCCCAAAUAAAGUCUGCUGCAUCUUUUCAUCUGAAACAUGCCCCCGGGAGAGUCGGGGGUGGUGGCUGUAAAUGAAUAUAUUGUGGACCUUAUAGCAGCCACAUUUUGUUAAUUGUUUACUGUUUUAACAAAAUAUUAUAGCACUUUUAUUUAUAACUUUACUGUUCUGGCUUUUAAGUUUUAUUAUAUUAUUGUGUUAAUUUAUACUUGACUGUUCAGGUUUUAAGUUGUAUUGUGUUAAUUUAUACUUGACUGUUCAGGUUUUAAGUUGUAUUGCGUUAAUUUAUACUUUACUGUUCUGGUUUUAAGUUUGGGUAAAAUUUGUAAUAAAAAUAUAUUUUCAGAUUUAAAUAAUUUAUUUCUUGGAGUGAUCAGUUUGUUUUACAGGAAAAUGUUAAGCAGUUUAUUACAAUUAUGUUGAUAAGAUAUACAAAUGCAAGACUAGUAUAUACACUACACUUUUAUUCAAUUGAAUAUUCAAUAUUAUCAAUAUUCUUUAAAAUCUAAUUUAGGUCUAUGGUCUGCGUGUCUGCAGUUUCAUGACACGACAACCAUUAACAAUGAGUAACUGGGUUUUUCUCAGUGAGAACUAACUCACUGCCACUGUUUUAAAGUAAAAACAUUUUAAAGUUGGAUCCUUGCAAAUAUGCACAGAUGGGAUUUCCAUGUCAGUAUGGGUCUUUAACAGUCUUCUUUGACAUUUCUACUACAGAAAACGUUUCUAAUACAACUUUUAUUCUGGCUGCCUUUAGAUGUCUUAACAAUUACGUCUGUAGCACGUCUUUAAUUGACGUCUAAAUGUCCUGAAAAGACUUCUAAAAAACUUUCAUUCUGGCUCCUGUGAGGAUGUCUUCUGGAUGUCUAACAAUUACGUCUUUUAGACGUGUUCUAGACGACUUUUUGCUCGCUGGGGUGAUUUAGAUUUUUUUUGGGACAGGAAUGAUGAUUGAGUGUUUGAAGCAGCAUGGCACCUGGAGGAUGAGGGGGUGAUUUAUUGUGUCGAUCAGCCAAUCAGAUAACCUGUAUGUAUGUGUAUUCUAUAUUGUGUGUAUUGUCUACUGUACAUUGUAUAUUAUUAUUGUGUUGUGUAAUUAUGUGUACAUGAGAUAUGUAAAUUGUGUUGUGUAAAUCUGUUGUUUAUUGUAAAUUGGUAUCAUCACUGUCAUGACUGCUAUGUUGCUCGGAACUGCACCCAAGACUUUCACCCACUGCUGCACUUGUGCAUAUGGUCGUGUGACAAUAAA